rnacentral:rRNA from 1 species
UAGAGUUUGAUCAUGGCUCAGAUUGAACGCUGGCGGCAGGCCUAACACAUGCAAGUCGAGCGGAAACGAUGGAAGCUUGCUUCCAGGCGUCGAGCGGCGGACGGGUGAGUAAUGCAUGGGAAUCUGCCCGAUAGUGGGGGAUAACCUGGGGAAACCCAGGCUAAUACCGCAUACGUCCUACGGGAGAAAGCAGGGGAUCUUCGGACCUUGCGCUAUCGGAUGAGCCCAUGUCGGAUUAGCUUGUUGGUGAGGUAAUGGCUCACCAAGGCGACGAUCCGUAGCUGGUCUGAGAGGAUGAUCAGCCACAUCGGGACUGAGACACGGCCCGAACUCCUACGGGAGGCAGCAGUGGGGAAUAUUGGACAAUGGGCGAAAGCCUGAUCCAGCCAUGCCGCGUGUGUGAAGAAGGCCCUCGGGUUGUAAAGCACUUUCC